CGUGAGAAACAUGCCCUUCUGAGGUGGAUAAUCGGCCCAACUGCCGGGUAAAACCUCGUACUACCUUCGGAUGGCAUCACCUGUGGUUGAAAGCUCCCGUGUACCGAUGGACUGUCUCUGGACCUUUCCGCUAUUUGAUGAGGUAAUGGCUCACCAAGGCGACGACGGGUAGCUGGUCUGAGAGGAUGAUCAUCCACAUUGGGACUGAGACACGGCCCAGACUCCUACGGGAGGCAGCAGUGGGGAAUCUUGCGCAAUGGCCGAAAGGCUGACGCAUCGACGCCGCGUGUGGGAUGAAGGUCUUCGGAUUGUAAACCACUGUCGGGAGGGACGAAGCUCUGACGGUACCUCCAAAGGAAGCACCGGCUAACUCUGUGCCAGCAGCCGCGGUAAUACAGAGGGUGCGAGCGUUGUCCGGAAUCACUGGGCGUAAAGGGCGCGUAGGCGGCCUGGUAAGUCGGGGGUGAAACGCUGCGGCUCAACCGCAGCACUGCCUUCGAGACUGUCAGGCUUGAGCACGGUAGAGGCUGGUGGAAUUCCCGGUGUAGCGGUGGAAUGCGUAGAGAUCGGGAAGAACAUCGGUGGCGAAGGCGGCCAGCUGGGCCGUUGCUGACGCUGAGGCGCGACAGCGUGGGGAGCAAGCAGGAUUAGAUACCCUGGUAGUCCACGCCGUAAACGAUGGGUACUAGGUGUCGGGGGGAGUGACCCUUUCGGUGCCGUAGCUAACGCAGUAAGUACCCCGCCUGGGGAGUACGGUCG
rnacentral:rRNA from 1 species